UACAGAGGGGGCAAGCGUUGUUCGGAAUUACUGGGCGUAAAGGCGCGUAGGCGGCCGGCUAAGUCGAACGUGAAAUCCCCGGGCUCAACCCGGGAACUGCGUCCGAUACUGGUCGGCUUGAAUUCGGGAGAGGGAUGCGGAAUUCCAGGUGUAGCGGUGAAAUGCGUAGAUAUCUGGAGGAACACCGGUGGCGAAGGCGGCAUCCUGGACCGACAUUGACGCUGAGGCGCGAAAGCCAGGGGAGCAAACGGG
rnacentral:rRNA from 1 species